rnacentral:rRNA from 1 species
UACGAAGGGGGCGAGCGUUGUUCGGAUUUACUGGGCGUAAAGGGCGCGUAGGCGGCGCGAGAAGUCGAGUGUGAAAGCCCCGGGCUCAACCUGGGAAUUGCGCUCGAUACUCUUGUGCUUGAGUUCGGGAGAGGAGCGUGGAAUUCCCAGUGUAGAGGUGAAAUUCGUAGAUAUUGGGAAGAACACCAGUGGCGAAGGCGGCUCACUGGCCCGAUACUGACGCUGAGGCACGAAAGCGUGGGGAGCAAACAGG